UACGGAGGGAGCUAGCGUUGUUCGGAAUUACUGGGCGUAAAGCGCACGUAGGCGGCUUUGUAAGUUAGAGGUGAAAGCCCGGGGCUCAACUCCGGAACUGCCUUUAAGACUGCAUCGCUUGAAUCCGGGAGAGGUGAGUGGAAUUCCGAGUGUAGAGGUGAAAUUCGUAGAUAUUCGGAAGAACACCGGUGGCGUAGGCGACUCGCUGGGCCGCAACUGACACUCAGGGACGAAAGCUAGGGGAGCGAAUGGG
rnacentral:rRNA from 1 species